UACGUAGGGUGCGAGCGUUGUCCGGAAUUACUGGGCGUAAAGAGCUCGUAGGUGGUUUGUCGCGUUGUUCGUGAAAACUCACAACUCAAUUGUGGGCGUGCGGGCGAUACUGGCAGACUGGAGUACUGCAGGGGAGACUGGAAUUCCUGGUGUAGCGGUGGAAUGCGCAGAUAUCAGGAGGAACACCAGUGGCGAAGGCGGGUCUCUGGGCAGUAACUGACGCUGAGGAGCGAAAGCGUGGGGAGCGAACAGG
rnacentral:rRNA from 1 species